AGCUUUGCGCAGUGGCAGUAUCGUAGUCAAUGAGGUUUAUCCGAGGCACGGUUAUUGCUAAUUGAAAAUAUG
rnacentral:snRNA from 1 species